rnacentral:lncRNA from 1 species
GUCUGGGAAAAGUUCUCACCGAUCAUGAGUGACUGAUUCCCUGAACAUGUCCAUGGGUCAUUUUAGAAGGCCCAGACGUUCAUCCCCUAACUUGGAAAAAGGUCGAUGAGGAUCUUAAUAGAUUGCUCAAAGCUCUUCCUUCCCUUUUCCGCCGACUCAUCACAGACCAGAGCCCUCAUCCAGUGGCUGAUGGAAGCAGAGACAGACAUCGACAGAUAUAUGCUGAAUUGAACUCUGGAACUUAGUUGAAGAGAGAGAGGAAUGAAGAUCAAAAGGGUCGGUUCCAGGUUGGAGAAACCCACAGAAACAGUUGGCCUGAACAAGGGAGAGCACAUCGACCCCAUAUGCUGUCUGGGAGGCCAGUACAGGACUGAUCCAGACCCCUGAACAUGGAUGUCAAUGAGGAGGCCUCUGCACUCCAGGGAGCCUCUGGUAAUGGAUUAGUAUUUUUCCCUGGUGUAAGAAGGGACUUUGAGAGCCCAUCCCACAUGAAGGGGAUACACUCUUGCCCUGGACACAUAGGGAAGGGCCCAUUCCCAGCCCAGGAAGAUUUGGUGGACAUUGCAGCACCCCCGUUGAGGGCCCUAGCCUGCCUGGG